rnacentral:rRNA from 1 species
CAGUAGCCACGGGAAUACGUAGUUGGCAAGCGUUGCCCGGAAUUAUUGGGCGUAAAGGGCUCGCAGGCGGUUUCUUAAGUCUGAUGUGAAAGCCCCCGGCUCAACCGGGGAGGGUCAUUGGAAACUGGGAAACUUGAGUGCAGAAGAGGAGAGUGGAAUUCCACGUGUAGCGGUGAAAUGCGUAGAGAUGUGGAGGAACACCAGUGGCGAAGGCGACUCUCUGGUCUGUAACUGACGCUGAGGAGCGAAAGCGUUGGGAGCGAACAGGAUUAGAGACCCCUGUAGUCCCUGUCUCUUAUAC